rnacentral:rRNA from 1 species
AUUGAACGCUGGCGGCAUGCCUUACACAUGCAAGUCGAACGGUAGAGGGGCAACCCUCGAGAGUGGCGAACGGGUGAGUAAUGCAUCGGAACGUGCCCAGUAGUGGGGGAUAGCCCGGCGAAGGCCGGAUUAAUACCGCAUACGACCUACGGGUGAAAGGGGGGGAUCGCAAGACCUCUCGCUAUUGGAGCGGCCGAUGUCAGAUUAGGUAGUUGGUGGGGUAAAAGCCUACCAAGCCGACGAUCUGUAGCUGGUCUGAGAGGACGACCAGCCACACUGGGACUGAGACACGGCCCAGACUCCUACGGGAGGCAGCAGUGGGGAAUUUUGGACAAUGGACGAAAGUCUGAUCCAGCCAUGCCGCGUGCAGGAAGAAGGCCUUCGGGUUGUAAACUGCUUUUGUCAGGGAAGAAAUCCCCUGGGUUAAUACCUCGGGGGGAUGACGGUACCUGAAGAAUAAGCACCGGCUAACUACGUGCCAGCCGCCGCCGUAA